UAAAUACUCACUCCGUUCGAAAAUACUUGUCUUAGAAACGGAUAAAAUGAAUGUAUCUAUAACUAAAAUAAGUCUAGAUACAACCAUUCCUAGAACAAGUAUUUUCAGACGAAGGGAGUAUAAG
rfam:Triticum aestivum genome assembly, contig: Triticum_aestivum_CS42_TGACv1_scaffold_570518_7AS